rnacentral:rRNA from 1 species
UGUGGUUAAUUCGAUGCAACGCGAAGAACCUUACCUGGGCUUGACAUCCCAAGAAUCCCCUGGAAACAGGGAGUGCCCUUCGGGGAGCUUGGAGACAGGUGCUGCAUGGCUGUCGUCAGCUCGUGUCGUGAGAUGUUGGGUUAAGUCCCGCAACGAGCGCAACCCUUGCCUUAGUUGCCAUCAUUCAGUUGGGCACUCUAGAGGGACUGCCGGUGUCAAACCGGAGGAAGGUGGGGAUGACGUCAAGUCCUCAUGGCCUUUAUGCCCAGGGCUGCACACGUGCUACAAUGGGCGGUACAAAGAGCAGCGAGCUCGCGAGAGUAAGCAAAUCUCAAAAAAGCCGUCCUCAGUUCGGAUUGGAGUCUGCAACUCGACUCCAUGAAGUUGGAAUCGCUAGUAAUCGCGGAUCAGCAUGCCGCGGUCGAAUACGUUCCCGGGCCUU